UCGGGUUGUAAAGCACUUUUGUCCGGAAAGAAAACUUCUGGCCCUAAUACGGCGGGAGGAUGACGGUACCGGAAGAAUAAGCACCGGCAACUACGUGCCAGCAGCCGCGGUAAUACGUAGGGUGCGAGCGUUAAUCGGAAUUACUGGGCGUAAAGCGUGCGCAGGCGGUUCGUUAAGACAGAUGUGAAAUCCCCGGGCUUAACCUGGGAACUGCAUUUGUGACUGGCGAGCUAGAGUAUGGCAGAGGGGGGUAGAAUUCCACGUGUAGCAGUGAAAUGCGUAGAGAUGUGGAGGAAUACCGAUGGCGAAGGCAGCCCCCUGGGCCAAUACUGACGCUCAUGCACGAAAGCGUGGGGAGCAAACAGGAUUAGAUACCCUGGUAGUCCACGCCCUAAACGAUGUCAACUAGUUGUUGGGUCUUCAUUGACUUAGUAACGUAGCUAACGCGUGAAGUUGACCGCCUGGGGAGUACGGUCGCAAGAUUAAAACUCAAAGGAAUUGACGGGGACCCGCACAAGCGGUGGAUGAUGUGGAUUAAUUCGAUGCAACGCGAAAAACCUUACCUACCCUUGACAUGGUCGGAACCCUGCUG
rnacentral:rRNA from 1 species